rnacentral:rRNA from 1 species
UUACUGUAAGGAUAAGCACCGGCUAAUUCCGUGCCAGCAGCCGCGGUAAUACGGAAGGUGCAAGCGUUAUCCGGUUUUAUUGGGUUUAAAGGGUGCGUAGGCGGCUUAUUAAGUCAGUUGUGAAAUCCUAGUGCUUAACGCUAGAACUGCAAUUGAUACUAUUAGGCUUGAGUUAAGAAUAGGUAAGUAGAAUUUAUGGUGUAGUAGUGAAAUGCUUAGAUAUCAUAAGGAAUACCAAUAGCGUAGGCAGCUUACUGGUCUUUAACUGACGCUGAGGCACGAAAGCGUGGGGAGCAAACAGGAUUAGAUACCCUGGUAGUCCACGCCGUAAACGAUGAUCACUCGGUAUACAUAAAUUUAUGUGUGUCUAAGCGAAAGCGUUAGUUGAUCCACAA